CAAUAGCGUAUAUUAAAGUUGUUGCGGUUAAAAAGCUCGUAGUUGGAUUUCUGCUGAGGACGAUCGGUCCGCCCUCUGGGUGAGCAUUGACUCGGCCUGGGCAUCUUCUUGGAGAACGUAUCUGCACUUGACUGUGUGGUGCGGUAUCCAGGACUUUUACUUUGAGGAAAUUAGAGUGUUCAAAGCAGGCUAGCGCUUGAAUACAUUAGCAUGGAAUAAUGGAAUAGGACUUUGGUGCUAUUUUGUUUGGUUUAUUGGGACCGGAAGUAAUGAUUAACAGGGACAGUUGGGGCCGGUUUAUAUUUCGUUUGUUCAGAGGUGAAAUUACUUGGAUUUACGUAAAGAAUAAACUUACUUGCGAAAGCAUUCGGCAAGGAUGUUUUCAUUGAUCAAGAACGAAAGUUAGGGAUCGAAGACGAUCAGAUACCAU
rnacentral:rRNA from 1 species